AUUGAACGCUGGCGGUAUGCUUAACACAUGCAAGUCGAACGGUAGCAGCUCUAGCUUGCUAGAGGCUGACGAAUGGCGGACGGGUGAGUAACGCGUAGGAAUCUGCCCAUCAGUAGAGGACAACUCGGGGAAACUCGAGCUAAUACUGUAUAUUACUCUACGGAGGAAAGUAAGGGACCUUAUGGCCUUACGCUGAUGGAUGAGCCUGCGUCGGAUUAGCUAGUUGGUGGGGUAAAGGCCUACCAAGGCGACGAUCCGUAGCUGUUCUGAGAGGAAGAUCAGCCACACUGGGACUGAGACACGGCCCAGACUCCUACGGGAGGCAGCAGUGGGGAAUAUUGGACAAUGGGGGCAACCCUGAUCCAGCAAUACCGCGUGUGUGAAGAAGGCCUGCGGGUUGUAAAGCACUUUCGUUAGGGAGGAAGGCUUAUACGUUAAUAGCGUAUAGGAUUGACGUUACCUAAAGAAGAAGCACCGGCUAACUCUGUG
rnacentral:rRNA from 1 species